AUUGAACGCUGGCGGCAGGCCUAACACAUGCAAGUCGAGCGGAUGAGAAGAGCUUGCUCUUCGAUUCAGCGGCGGACGGGUGAGUAAUGCCUAGGAAUCUGCCUGGUAGUGGGGGACAACGUUUCGAAAGGAACGCUAAUACCGCAUACGUCCUACGGGAGAAAGCAGGGGACCUUCGGGCCUUGCGCUAUCAGAUGAGCCUAGGUCGGAUUAGCUAGUUGGUGAGGUAAUGGCUCACCAAGGCGACGUUCCGUAACUGGUCUGAGAGGAUGAUCAGUCACACUGGAACUGGGACACGGUCCAGACUCCUACGGGAGGCAGCAGUGGGGAAUAUUGGACAAUGGGCGAAAGCCUGAUCCAGCCAUGCCGCGUGUGUGAAGAAGGUCUUCGGAUUGUAAAGCACUUUAAGUUGGGAGGAAGGGCAGUAAGUUAAUACCUUGCUGUUUUGACGUUACCGACAGAAUAAGCACCGGCUAACUCUGUGCCAGCAGCCGCCGUAAGAC
rnacentral:rRNA from 1 species